rnacentral:lncRNA from 1 species
GGGGGGUGGUGGUGGUGGUGGUUUGGGGCGCGGUUGGUGGAGGGGUGGUGGUUGGUCUACAGGAGGAGACAUUUUCUCCCACAGUAGCAUUAUCUAGAUUGUUUCCUUUUACAACUUCCUAAUUUGUUUAUAUUGACUUGAAAUUAACACAGACGUUUAUUACUUCUCCAAAUUUUUCAUUGAGGAUAAUACAUUGCAUGCAUUUUUACCAUUAGAGGUUUGCCUUUUAAAUUGCCUCCCUGCAAGUUUGCAAGUGUGCCUAUCUCAUGUUCCAACCAUCCCUUGUCUAAUAGUUCCUGUACAUAAAGCAAGGGACCUACUCCCUUGAAAUUCCAAUAGCAGAGGAGCACAACGUAUUCAAAUAUGUGGCACAUGCAACAAUUAGCGAAGAUAGACAAGUCUUCAAACCCACCCUGAAUUUAGGACAAAUGAGAGAGAGAGAGAGAGAGAGAGAGAGAGAGAGAGAGAGAGAGAGAGAGAGAGGGUGGAUGGGGGUUGCUGCUCAUCAUUUUCCUGUUUUGUCUCAUCCUCUUUUCUGCCAGAUGCUUUUAACUCCUAACGUCGUUCCUUUUUUUCAAUUAUCCUCUUUUUAAUCUUAUUUGUCCAGCUCAUUUGUUUUUGUCCUCCACCAACACUUGGCUGUAACAUCUAAGGACAUUUCCAGGAAAUGAUAUUACUUUAGAAGUCAUCAUUUGGUUUUGAGAAUUCAAAAUAGAACAUAAUGAGCAUAGUUCUUGUAGUCGCACCUUGGGUGCAAGGGGGCACAAUGCCCGGUACCUCAACCCUUGAAAGCGGGUGGCCGUGCGAAGUGCUUGCCUAGGCGCACUUCAACAUUUAGCAGAUAUUUCAGCAAGAUUGUCUCGAUUAUUUAUUAGAGAUCGAUUUGUUCCUGCACACACAUGCACAUAGACAUGCAAAGUUGUAUACAGAGUGAAGUUCUUUCCAUUUGGAAUGAGACAAAUUGUGUACAAAAAUCUUAUUGAUAUAAGUUGGGUUCCUAUUUUAGAUUUCAUAUGACUCGUAUGUUCUAAGUUGACAUUUCUAUUUGCAAAUUUCUAUUUACUAGAUUUCAUAAGUUGACUUUCCUUUUUCCUUUUUUUUGGUCUUAUCCAUUUUCUUUACCAAAUUUAAUUAAACCCCUUCUAUUUUUCCUAUUUUCUUUUCUUUUCUCACAUAUUUUAUCUUUCUUCUGUUUCUGCAUGUCUCCUUGUUCAUAUCUCUUGUAUAGGUCUUUUUGUUCUUUUGGAUGCUUCCGUUGCUUUUUGCUUAUUUAAGGAAAGAAAUAAGAGGUUAUAUUAACAAUAUAUAAUAUAGAUAUAGGUUUUGUGACAGUGGAGAAGGCUUAAGUUACUCAUGAUGACAAGACUUUUCUUCUUCUUUUUUUUAUGAAACUAUUGUUCUUUAGUAGGAACUUUGGAAUAUGUUUUAAGAGUUUUAAAAUCUUUUAUUUUUAGUUUUAACUUAUGUUCAAAACAUUUGAUGCUAGAAUUCUGAAGGAUUUGUGUUAUUAAUAUGAGUUGACUUAUAUAGGAUUGAUUAUGUCACUCAAGUACAUGGUUGUGCCUAGGCUUCAGAACUCUUUUUGAGUUCUUAAUAACUGUGGAACAUACAAAUACUUGUAUUAUAUACUGUGCUUCUUGUUUUGAGAAGGAAACCUGACUUUUGUAUUUCAGUUUUAGAAGACAUUUGAUUCUUUGGUUUUAACUAUAGUGAAAUGUUGAGUGGCAAUCGCAUCAAUCUUUGUUGGCUAAAAAUGAAUAUACUGUACUUUUUCUUGGUAGAAGGAAUAGAUAUCAGGAACAUAAAUAACGUAAAGCAUUUCAUGUUGAGAUCCCCUUCAAAAGUUGAGAUAUCUAACUUACAGAAUGCUCUUUCCAUUGGCAGGAUGAUUUGACAACUACACUCAUCCAGCAAUGUCGUCAAUCUCAAUUGACCGUGCAGAGAAUCAUUGAGACAGCAGGAGAUAAUGAAGCCCUGCUCUUUGAAGCGUUGAAUGUUAAUGAUGAGAUCCAGAGAGUUAUAUCCAAGUAUGAAGAGUUGAAGAAGCCAAUAGUUGUUUCUUCUGAGCCUGAACCUGCUAUGAUUCCCGUUUCUGUUGAGCCUGAUGAUUCACCUGUCGAUGGAAAAGAAGAUGCCUUAAUUAGGAAACCAGCAGGUUCACGGGGCCGAACCAGUGGAGGAAGCAAUGAUGAUGUGAUGGAUGAUCUUGACGAAAUGAUCUUUGGUAAGAAAACUGGAGGCACAUCUGAAGGUGCAGAGGACUCAAAGAAACAACAAGCUUCCAAGGAUGAUCACAUCAGCUUAUGAGCAUUUCAGAAAAUUUCAUAUUUUGGGGAAAGAGGCCUUUGACACCAGGCCAUUUAGGUGUUCAACAGGAAUUAAGUUUGGGUUUAAAAUGGCUGAAACCUUCAUACAAGGGCUGGUAGAUUUUUCUGUCAAUUUCUGUUAGUAGUUUUAGUCUUGGAUUGAUACAAUUGCUUGACAUGGACAUGGUGUAUAUCUAUUGCGAUAUUAUAAUGACAUUGCUU